GAGUCCAUGUUCUUCAGUGAAGCUUUUUCUUUUGAGGGGAAUGUUGUCUGGCACGAGGCCCUUAACUUAGAUCUAUAUUUGAUUUUAUGUCUCUUCUUUAUUUAUUAGUCUAUAUAUACAUGAAUGAUCGAUUUUAACGGUUAAUGACGUCGGACCAGGCUUCAUUCCCCUCAAUUAUAUCGCUUCUUCGAUCUUGGCUU
rnacentral:pre_miRNA from 1 species